rnacentral:rRNA from 1 species
GAUGAACGCUGGCGGCGUGCCUAAUACAUGCCAGUCGAGCGAACGGACGAGAAGCUUGCUUCUCUGAUUUUAUCGGCGGACGGGUGAGUAACACGUGGAUAACCUACCUAUAAGACUGGGAUAACUUCGGGAAACCGUAGCUAAUACCGGAUGAUAUUUUGAACCUCAUGGUUCAAGAGUGAAAGACGGUCUUGCUGUCACUUAUAGAUUGAUCAGCGUUGCAUUCGAUAGUUGGUAAGGUAACGGCUUACCAAGGCAACGAUGCAUAGCCGACCUGAGAGGGUGAUUGGACAGACUGUAAGUGAGACUCGGUACCGACUCCUACAGUAGGACGCAGUAGGGAAUCUUACGCAAUGGGCGAAAGCCUGAUGGAGCAACGCCGCGUGAGUGAUGAAGGUCUUCUGAUCGUAAAACUAUGUUAUUCGGGAAGAACAUAUGUGUAAGUAACUGUGCACAUCUUGACGGUACCUAAUCAGAAAGCCACGGCUAACUACGUG